rnacentral:rRNA from 1 species
GACGAACGCUGGCGGCGUGCUUAACACAUGCAAGUCGAACGAAGAGCGAUGGAAGCUUGCUUCUAUCAAUCUUAGUGGCGAACGGGUGAGUAACGCGUAAUCAACCUGCCCUUCAGAGGGGGACAACAGUUGGAAACGACUGCUAAUACCGCAUACGAUCUAAUCUCUGCAUCGAGGAUAGAUGAAAGGUGGCCUCUACAUGUAAGCUAUCACUGAAGGAGGGGAUUGCGUCUGAUUAGCUAGUUGGAGGGGUAACGGCCCACCAAGGCGAGGAUCAGUAGCCGGUCUGAGAGGAUGAACGGCCACAUUGGGACUGAGACACGGCCCAGACUCCUACGGGAGGCAGCAGUGGGGAAUCUUCCGCAAUGGACGAAAGUCUGACGGAGCAACGCCGCGUGAGUGAUGACGGCCUUCGGGUUGUAAAGCUCUGUUAAUCGGGACGAAAGGCCUUCUUGCGAAUAGUGAGAAGGAUUGACGGUACCGGAAUAGAAAGCCACGGCUAACUACGUG